GGGGCCGUGGUCUAGCUGGUCAUGACGCUGCCCUUACAAGGCAGAGGCCGGGAGUUCGAACCUCCCCGGCCCCA
rnacentral:tRNA from 1 species